UUUUAUUAUCAUACAACCCUGAAAAUACCUGAAUCUUGAUUGAAACUAAGCAGGGUUGGGCCUGGUUAAUACUUGGAGGGGAGGUCACCUGAGAAUACCAGGAUUCUCUGAGUA
rnacentral:rRNA from 1 species